AUACGGAGGGUGCAAGCGUUACUCGGAAUCACUGGGCGUAAAGCGCGCGCAGGCGGUCUUUUAAGUUGGAUGUGAAAGCCUACGGCUCAACCGUAGAACUGCAUCCAAAACUAUUAGACUAGAGUGUGGGAGAGGAAGAUGGAAUCAGUUGUGUAGGGGUAAAAUCCGUAGAGAUAACUAGGAAUACCAAAAGCGAAGGCAAUCUUCUGGAACACUACUGACGCUGAGGCGCGAAAGCGUGGGGAGCAAACAGAAUUAGAAACCCCAGUAGUCC
rnacentral:rRNA from 1 species